AACGAACGCUGGCGGCAUGCCUAACACAUGCAAGUCGAACGAGACCUUCGGGUCUAGUGGCGCACGGGUGCGUAACGCGUGGGAAUCUGCCCUUGGGUUCGGAAUAACAGUGAGAAAUUACUGCUAAUACCGGAUGAUGUCUUCGGACCAAAGAUUUAUCGCCCAGGGAUGAGCCCGCGUAGGAUUAGCUAGUUGGUGGGGUAAUGGCCUACCAAGGCGACGAUCCUUAGCUGGUCUGAGAGGAUGAUCAGCCACACUGGGACUGAGACACGGCCCAGACUCCUACGGGAGGCAGCAGUGGGGAAUAUUGGACAAUGGGCGCAAGCCUGAUCCAGCAAUGCCGCGCGAGUGAUGAAGGCCUUAGGGUUGUAAAGCUCUUUUACCCGGGAUGAUAAUGACAGUACCGGGAGAAUAAGCUCCGGCUAACUCCGUG
rnacentral:rRNA from 1 species